rnacentral:lncRNA from 1 species
AUGGAUCUGAGAACGCUGUCUGGGCUUGGUGCCAAGUGCUGGUAUUUCACAGCAGCGACCGCCUCACAGACGGGCUGUGGGAAGCAGGAGGGAGACUCUCUUAGGGUGCCACUACUAUGGAGACACAGCUGGGCUGAACAAGAUUUGCUUCAAACGACAACAAGAGAGACAGAAAGUAUCUGGUUCAACCGCUGCCCAGGCAGGCAGGCACCAGAAGAGCUAGCAGCCAAUCCGGCCAUGCUCGAAGCCAGCUCUGCAGCUCAGCCAAUCAGUGACAUCACUGAUCUUUUGGAAUAUUACUGGGAUAACUGUCCAAAUGAAGUUCCAAGUACUCUAUACAAAUGUCUACAGAUGCACGGCUGGUGGUGUGGCUCAGACGGAGCAAGGGUUACAUCAAGGCUGUUCUCUGGACCGUGCAAACAGUCUAGACCAAUGACCUGCAGCAUCAUGCCCUUUGAAGAAGAGGCAAGUUCGGUCAUGAUGAAGAAAAAUCAAGGCGUACCCCCUUUAACAAUAGGGAGCAGCUCGAGGCUGCAAAGAGGUUACUGAUCAUUAAAAUGGUUUUGUAAAGGAAUGACUCAGAAAUAACAGAGUUUGUUGCUGCUUCUGAGAUAAAGAAAACUCGAUGUCAACAUUUGAACAGAGAAAAAUACAGAAUAUGGAUAUCCUUGAAGAUUAACCAGAGAACUUUUCAUAUACUUCUAAAGGUAGGAAAUAGAAGCCCCCUUUUUUUGGUUAUAAAAUAUGUUGUAUUUGUUUUAGCUAUGUUUGAAUAAUUUACUUCCCUUGUAAGAUAUAGAUAGAAUUGAUGCUGCUUAUUCUGAAAAACUGAAAAAUGCAUUAUGUCUGCCUACUUGCUAAACUCGAAGUCAUCCAACACAUAGUGUUUAAUCGUCAGUUUGAUUUUUCUUCCAUACUGCUACUACUAUAGUUUCUUGUGUCUUUUACAGUUUAUGUUUUACUGUGGACAGAAUUCAUUCAUUAUUUUACAUUUUUGUAUUAUCGUCUUCAUAAUUCUAGGGUAGUUUGACGUGACUCUUGCAGGAAGGGAGACCCCUUCCAGGGCCCAAGAAUGGGCUCUUGUCCAACACUGGGAAAUGAACUGUGAGAGGAGACACACAUGCUGACAAAGCAAAAGACUUUAUCGAGUAGGGGUACCAGGGCGGAGAGCAGCCAGGUAAGGGAAUCCAGGAGAACUGCUCUGCCAGGUGGCUCACAGUCUCAGGCUUUAUGGGAAUGGAGUUAGUUUCUGAGUUAUCUCUGGCCAGUCAUCUUGACCAGCCCAUGCUUGGUGUGUGGCUCAGGGCCCCUCUUGGGGGCGUAUGCACCUCUCAGCCAAGAUGGAUUCCAGAACCAAGGAUCCUGGGAGGUUGGCUGUCUUGUCUCUCCUAUUGGACCUUCCCAUGUUCUCCUGGUUUGUCUUCAGGGCAGCACAGUAUUCCUUAUCAGGGAUUCCUGUUAUGAGACAACUCAGUGGAGGGGCUAUUGUUGUGCCUGGCCAAGGUGGACAGUUUCAGUCAGUAGUUCCCCAACAUUAGCAUAUAUACUUUCUAUACAUCAAGUAGACAAUUUCAUAGUAUAUACAUAUAUUGAAUAUUCAUAUAUUCAAAUAUUGUUAGAAACUGAGAUUUUCUGAUACACUAUAAUUUCAUAUUUUUCUUGCUGUUUUAAAACUGUAAUUUCUAAAGAAACAACCCAAGUAAUAAUAAGUAUAAUUAGCUAUCAGCGAUUUAGUACAAUAAGUGUUAAUUUGGAAAAAUUUACUUCAGUAUUAGCUUUACUUAAUAAGAGUGCUAGAAAAUGUGGCCCUUUUCUUGGCUAGGAUGUAUGUGAGGAUAAAUUUAGAAUUUCUAGUCUAGUAAAUACUUCUCUGAUAAUAGCUUAAUUGUAGCUAUUUCAAACCAAAUUGUUUAAUUGUAGUGAAUCAUAUGCAAAUUGUUCAGAUGUAGGUCAACCUCCCACUCCCACAUUCUAGCACUUCUUUUCUGAUUCAAGACAAACUACUCAGUGCCUAACAGAAGGAGAAUGGUGCAGAUUAGAGACAUUAGAUAAAAACAGAACAACAAUAACGCAAAAACCAACAGUGGGCUAGGAGUCACAAAAAAGGCAAGGCAAGUUGCAUUUAUCUUAACCUUAGCUGAGGACCUCUUAUGCUGGUUGUGUGUUUGUACACAAUGAUCUGCUCACUGCUCAUGAGAUUUGUGGUUGGCCAAUUAUGGUGCUUCUAGGAAGCUAGGUUUCCUCAUCUGUAUUCAUUUUUGAUGAGCUGGUUGAGUGAGGAGUGGCCCUCACAGAUAGCAAAGAAUAUCUUGUGUAUAUGGGGAAGUGAUGGGGGUGGGGCCAAUUGAAAUAUACCGCCGUUGUACAAAGUCUGGAAAUCCUUUCUUUUUCUAGCUGCUACAUUCUGCUUCUAAUUUAUAGUUGCCUUUGUGAUGGGCUAUUGUAUCACUUUCUGAUGAACAACUGAGAUUUUAUGAUUCUAUUUAAUCUUUAUAUGUUGUCUACUAUACUUUGAAAGAAAAAUUUUAAUUUGCAGUUUGUAAAGCAUCAAAAACAUGAUAAUAACAGAUUUGUGAGUUUGUUAUAUUUGUUGUCCUUUAUCUUUGGUGAUUAUCACUGAUGUUUUUAGUAUAUUGACAGAAAAUAGUGUAUUGACAGAAAAUAAUUGCUUAUUAUUGAUGAAAAAUUAUUUUGGCUAUAAUCCUAAUAAAAUUAGAAUUCUGCCUUACUAGAAACAUGAUUUCUAAAAUUAUCAUUCCUCACUGGAAUUUAAGAAUUUGAACUUAUAUUUUCAUAUAAUUUAUAAUAUUAAAAUUUUCUAAAAUUUGAGUUAAACUUUUCAUUCUUAAAAAGUUAUUGUAGAAUUAUUAAGUUAAAUUACUGACUUACAGAGUUCUCAUCGUGGUUUAGUGGAAACGAAUCCAACUAGGAACCAUGAGGUUGCGGGUUUGAUCCCUGGCCUUGCUCAGUGGGUUAAGGAUCUAGUGUUGCCUUGAGCUGAGGUGUAGGUCAGACGUGGCUUGGAUCUGCCAUUGCUGUGACUGGCAUAGGCCGGCAGCUAUAGCUCCAAUUCGACCCCUAGCCUGGGAACCUCCAUAUUCUGUGGGUACAGCCCUCAAAAAGACAAACAAAACCAGAAAAAAAAAAAUUACUGACUUAAAAAGUGUCAGUAAUUUUUCUAGUUCUUAGAGUGGGGGAAAUAGAUGAUGUUUACUUUGUAUUUCUUUCAAUAUAAAUACUUUUGCUGUUUAAAUUAUUUAAAAUUUUUUAAAUAAAAAGUAAUACUAAAUAAAAAGUGAUAUUUUCCUUAAAGUUAACUACCUCUAAAAUUUUGGUGUUUAUUCUUCCUAAUUCCUUUUUUAUAUGCAUAAAUAUCAAUAUCAAUCUGUGCACAUAAUGCUUUUAUGUCAUAUCCAUGAUUCUGUUUUUUAAAAUUGUAAUUAUGAACAUUUUUCUAAGGCAAUAUGUUAUCUAUUUAAUUUUACAUAUUAGACAACUUUUUUGAUGGACCAUGAUUUAUUUAUUAAUCCCUCUAAACUGUUUUUAAAAAUAGAACUUUAAAAUAGAAUGAAAGCAGGCCUUUCUUAAUUACAUUUUUGGCAGGGAUACAAAAGAAUAAUUCUCAUUUGUACAUUGAAUUAGGAAAUUAAGGAGUAAAGAAAGUGUUACAGUAAAGAGGCCUAAAACAUAUUAGGUGGGUGCAUAUUAAUGGUUGGGGAAAGAAAAGCUAAUAAUACAGAUGUUCAUGAAACUGUUUUACGUAUAUAAAACUGGAACUCUGAUUUUUUUCCCAAGGGUCACAGCAAAUGACACGCCCUCCCGUUAGCUUUCAAAGAGAUAUUUCCCUUCAUCUUCAUUCUCACCAGUUGUCUUAUAUCUUCAUACCACUUUGGAGAAAAAUAUAUCUCUUUACAUUAUGUCACAUAUAAAAAUUCAUCUUGCGUUUAUCUUUUUUCCCCUGUGAGGCUGUUAACCCUCAGAGGGUUGUUACUGUGUGUUACUCCUCCUCGAACCUAGUAGGUGCUGAAAAAAUGGUCAUUCAGUUAACUUGGAUUGAAGUGUGAAAAGGGGGAGAAAUCAGGUGGAAAUAUUUAAUCUUACCAAAAUUUCAUCAAGUACCUCUAUCUCCCUAUUAUCUCUGGAGUAAAGUAGUAAUUAAUUAUUUUGAUGAAUGGGAUACAAAGGAUAUAAACACAUGAUUUUUUAUUACAAUGAAAGUAAUCUAAAUUGAAUUUUAAUGAUUCUUAUUGGUAUUCAAGCUUAAAAUCAUACCUAUAGGUUAAUUAUUUCAGAAAAAUACUUAUAAUUUAUGAAUAUAUAUAUAUAAAUAUGGUACUGAACUUAUACAUUACCUGAUAUGGAUAUAAAAACACUUUGUCAGCCUUAUUCCAUUGUACACUUGUAAGACAUUAUUAUUUUUGGUAAGACACUAACAAAAUUGGCUCUGUAGAUCAAAAUAUGGAUGAUUAUUUACAAAAUAGAAGUAAUAUAUAAAAAAGAAGCAGUUCUUUGUAUGAAUUCUGUUAGAAGAAAGGGAGUAUUGUUUUUAGUACUUUUAUAUAAUGCAAGUUGCCACUUAAAUAAAUCUUUGACAUUAUCUCAAUCAGCACAAGUAGAGUUAUUAAUAGUUUGAAUUAUGCCUGAAAGGAUCUCGAAUUUCAUAUUAGUAUGAAUUCAAUGGCAGUAUAAAUUUGAAAUCUCUGAGCAGAUGUACCAAUUUAUUUUUUUUAACAGAAAGAUGAAGAAUUUGUGGGUGUAAAAGUCUCUUAUGAAACUGAAUGUAGUGCCUAGUGCAUAAUAGUUUUUCUCUCUUCUGGCUUGCAGAAGUCACUAUCCCCAAACUCUAAUUUCACAUACAUUGUUCUGGGGAAAUCAGGAAGGAAGAAAGGAUCUUAGUCAGUCUUCUAAAUAAAUUUUUCAGCUUGUUGCAGACCUUUGCUUGACCAGAGCUUGAACCUUGGUAUUUCAAAGGCAUACUAUUGUGCUGUCUUUGUUCUCAAAGCUUUCCCCAUCACUGUUAUCUAUUCAGCCAGAGUUGCAAAUGCAAGUAUUUUCAAGGCCCAUGAAUAUAACAGAACUGGGUGUAACAUACAGUAGAGAGUGGUGUGGACUGAGAAAGAGAUGAUCACAAGCUCAACUCACAGGCCUGCUUCUACUCUUUCUUGUCAAAUUUUCUGCCCAACAGGAUAUUCCAGUAGCCAUAAAUACUAAAGGUAAGGAGAACUGAAUACUGAAAUCUUUAUGUGAAAUCUCACGGUUUUUUAACGUGGGCUCAAAUUUUAAUUACUGAAA